rnacentral:rRNA from 1 species
ACGGGUGAGUAACACGUGGGCAACCUGCCCUUGAGACUGGGAUAACUUCGGGAAACCGGAGCUAAUACCGGAUAAUAUAAGGAACCUCCUGGUUCCUUGUUGAAAGAUGGUUUCGGCUAUCACUUAAGGAUGGGCCCGCGGCGCAUUAGCUAGUUGGUGAGGUAACGGCUCACCAAGGCGACGAUGCGUAGCCGACCUGAGAGGGUGAUCGGCCACACUGGGACUGAGACACGGCCCAGACUCCUACGGGAGGCAGCAGUAGGGAAUCUUCCACAAUGGACGAAAGUCUGAUGGAGCAACGCCGCGUGAGUGAUGAAGGCCUUCGGGUCGUAAAGCUCUGUUGUUAGGGAAGAACAAGUGCGAGAGUAACUGCUCGCACCUUGGCGGUACCUAACCAGAAAGCCACGGCUAACUACGUGCCAGCAGCCGCGGUAAUACGUAGGUGGCAAGCGUUAUCCGGAAUUAUUGGGCGUAAAGCGCGCGCAGGUGGUUUCUUAAGUCUGAUGUGAAAGCCCACGGCUCAACCGUGGAGGGUCAUUGGAAACUGGGGAACUUGAGUGCAGAAGAGGAAAGUGGAAUUC